GAUGAACGCUGGCAGCGUGCUUAACACAUGCAAGUCGAACGGAAAGGCUCCUGCUUGCAGGGGUACUCGAGUGGCGAACGGGUGAGUAACACGUGGGUGAUCUGCCCUGCACUUCGGGAUAAGCCUGGGAAACUGGGUCUAAUACCGGAUAGGACGAUGGUUUGGAUGCCAUUGUGGAAAGUUUUUCGGUGUGGGAUGAGCUCGCGGCCUAUCAGCUUGUUGGUGGGGUAAUGGCCUACCAAGGCGUCGACGGGUAGCCGGCCUGAGAGGGUGUACGGCCACAUUGGGACUGAGAUACGGCCCAGACUCCUACGGGAGGCAGCAGUGGGGAAUAUUGCACAAUGGGCGCAAGCCUGAUGCAGCGACGCCGCGUGGGGGAUGACGGCCUUCGGGUUGUAAACUCCUUUCGCUAGGGACGAAGCGCAAGUGACGGUACCUGGAGAAGAAGCACCGGCUAACUACGUG
rnacentral:rRNA from 1 species